UCGGGAAUCUUGUGCAAUGGGGGCAACCCUGACACAGCAACGCCGCGUGAGGGAUGAAGGCCCUAGGGUCGUAAACCUCUGUCGAGAGGGAAGAAUCCUCUGGGGGUAAACAAUCCCCGGAGUUGACGGUACCUCCAAAGGAAGCGCCGGCUAACUCCGUGCCAGCAGCCGCGGUAAUACGGAGGGCGCAAGCGUUGUUCGGAAUCAUUGGGCGUAAAGCGCGUGCAGGCGGCUUGGCAAGUCGGACGUGAAAGCCCGGGGCUCAACCCCGGAACUGCGCUCGAAACUGCCUCGCUAGAGUCCCGGAGAGGAGGGCGGAAUUCCCGGUGUAGAGGUGAAAUUCGUAGAUAUCGGGAGGAACACCAGCGGCGAAGGCGGCCCUCUGGACGGUGACUGACGCUCAGACGCGAAAGCGUGGGGAGCAAACAGGAUUAGAUACCCGCGUAGUCC
rnacentral:rRNA from 1 species